rnacentral:rRNA from 1 species
GACGAACGCUGGCGGCGUGCCUAGCACAUGCAAGUCGAACGGGGUAGAGAGCUUCGGUUUUCUACUUAGUGGCGAACGGGUGAGUAACGCGUGAGAAACCUGCCUUUCAGUGGGGGACAACAGUUGGAAACGACUGCUAAUACCGCAUAAUGUUAUUUGGGGGCAUCCCCGAAUACCAAAGCUUUAUGUGCUGAAAGAUGGUCUCGCGUCUGAUUAGCUAGAUGGCGGGGUAACGGCCCACCAUGGCGACGAUCAGUAGCCGGUCUGAGAGGAUGAACGGCCACAUUGGGACUGAGAUACGGCCCAGACUCCUACGGGAGGCAGCAGUGGGGAAUAUUGGGCAAUGGGGGAAACCCUGACCCAGCAACGCCGCGUGAAGGAAGAAGGCCUUCGGGUUGUAAACUUCUUUUACCAGGGACGAAGAACGUGACGGUACCUGGAGAAAAGCAACGGCUAACUACGUG